rnacentral:rRNA from 1 species
CCUACGGGAGGCAGCAGUGGGGAAUAUUGCGCAAUGGCCGAAAGGCUGACGCAGCGACGCCGCGUGGGGGAUGAAGCAUUUCGGUGUGUAAACCCCUGUUGCUCGGGACGAACAACUGGUUUUGACCAGUCUGACGGUACCGGGUGAGGAAGCACCGGCUAACUCCGUGCCAGCAGCCGCGGUAAUACGGAGGGUGCGAGCGUUGUCCGGAAUCACUGGGCGUAAAGGGCGCGUAGGCGGUCUGCUAAGCGUGUGGUGAAAGCUCGGGGCUCAACCCUGAGUCGGCCAUGCGAACUGGUGGACUAGAGCACUGUAGAGGCAGGUGGAAUUCCGGGUGUAGCGGUGGAAUGCGUAGAGAUCCGGAAGAACACCGGUGGCGAAGGCGGCCUGCUGGGCAGUAGCUGACGCUGAGGCGCGACAGCGUGGGGAGCAAACAGGAUUAGAUACCCUGGUAGUCCACGCCGUAAACGAUGGGCACUAGGUGCUUGGGGGAGCGACCCCCGAGUGCCGGUGCUAACGCAUUAAGUGCCCCGCCUGGGGAGUACGACCGCAAGGUUGAAACUCAAAUGAAUUGACGG